UUUAAAAUGACGACGAUCAUACGUGUCAACAAAUAGCCAUAACUUACAAAUAACGGUUUCUCAUAUAAUACAGCAACGAUUCCCAACAGAGCACUAAGCAUCAGCUAUAAUAAAACAACAACAGAUCAUUAUUAAAAUGAAUUUAUUAUCAAAAAACUACUUUAAGAGCAGAAUAUGAAUGCAUUAUUUACUAUUUAUACUUGAAUGUGCAUUUAAGCGUAAACUCCUCAACAAUGUGGACGUGAUUUAUUUGUGUAAAAGAUACGAAGAUGAUUUUGUUAACAAAGCGAAGUUAUUACAGCAAAGGAUUGGAAGAUCAAGGCUCAAACACAUGGCGAUGAAAAUAUAAAGAAUUUGGUAAACAUCAGAUCCUGAUGACAAAAUAUCAGUCCUUAAGUUAUCUAGUAGGGUGAUUAAUGGUCAAAAAACUACAGCAAGCAAGAGCAAGAAUCAUCUACUGUAUUUCACUGUAACCUAUAGUGUCAUCCACUGUAAACUCAGUGCUAUAUCUACAAGCUGUAACUUACUGUAACUCGCAUACAUCCACUGUGAUCUGUCUUUAAUCGCGAUAAUCCUGUGUUGUACAAUCAUCAACAGAUGAACCGACACUACAUAAUAUGCUUUAUUACGACUGAAUAAUAGUCAAACUGUAUUAUAUAAGCUUAUACUUUUGGCGGUGAGAAAUCAACUCUUCAGAAGAUAUGGUGUUGUCCUUUGUAUGAUGGGUGGAAGGGUUUAGUAUUGUUUUUAAUCACUAACAACACAAGAUGUGCAAUCAUCAACGGAUGAACCAAGUGUCCGAAGUGUGUUUCGUUAAAAUGCAACAAUGCUCAAACAAUAAGAGCUUAUGUUCCUGAUGAGGAACUGGAAGCCAAUCUCCAUGCGAGAACAUGGUGUUGUUCUUUAUGAAGAUGAAAGGGUCCUGGGGUUAGAAAUGAGUUAAAAUCUUCAUAUUUUUGACAUUGCAUGUUACACAUUUUUCUUGACAUUGUAAAGUUAAAAAUGAAAGCACAGAGUUAUCGUUCAAUCUAAUUGAAGAAUUUAGGAUAUGACGUGACUACCAUGAAGAUUAUCAAAGUUAUCAAAUGUUACAAACAUGUUACAAACGUAUAAUUAUCAUUACAAGGAAAUGAUAUCAUAGUUUCAUGAAAUCAUAGUUUAAUGAUGUCAUAGUUUAAUGAUGUCAUAGUUUAAUGAUAUCAUAGUUUCAUGAAAUCAUAGUUUAAUGAUGUCAUAGUUUAAUGAUAUCAUAGUUUCAUGAAAUCAUAGUUUCAUGAAAUCAUAGUUUAAUGAAAUCAUAGUUUAAUGAUGUCAUAGUUUAAUGAUAUCAUAGUUUCAUGAAAUCAUAGUUUAAUGAUGUAAUAGUUUAAUGAUAUCAUAGUUUCAUGAAAUCAUAGUUUAAUGAUGUCAUAGUUUAAUGAUGUCAUAGUUUAAUGAUGUCGUAGUUUAAUGAUGUCAUAGUUUAAUGAUGUCAUAGUUUAAUGAUGUUGUACCAAAAACUUUAUUCAAAUGUUAACUUACACUAUUAAACCAAUCUGUGUAAA